AUGUUCAAGAGAAAAAUCACCAACUUGAGAAGGCCAAGGUCUCCAACGCAGCUCUGAAACAGCAAAACCAAAUCCUUGUUCAGAGAAUCUCAGAGCGUAGGAUUUUCCAUGGUGGAAAUCUCUACUACUUUUCCUGUGGCAAAAUGUCCUGGAAUGAUGCUGAGCAGUACUGUGUGUCAAAGGGCUCCCAUCUGACCUCAGUGACUUCAGUGGAAGAACAGGAAUUUCUUUAUAAAAAAGCCAAUGGUACCUACUAUUGGAUUGGACUGAGUAACCAAAAUGCUUUAGGCUGGCAAUGGACUGACAGGACCCCAUAUGAUGAAGCCCAAAGCAAAGAGUUCUGGGCUGAUGGGAAACCAAGCAAAGAAAAAGGAAAUGAUAACUGUACCCAUUUCUGGGCAAAGACACAAAAAUCAUGGAAUAAUUUCAUUUGCACAUAUUCUUGCAAGUUUAUCUGUAAGUGGAACUGUGAGUCAUCUGAGAUGUGCCAAAACAUACAAACAUCUGGCUCCUGAAUGCUGCUGACCCCCACCCUAGAAGCAAUGGGGCAGAUGGCAGACACUGGUCCGCCUACCAUGCAUACAGAGGAGUUUAUGAGCACUAUUUUCCUUUCCAAUUUCAAGUUCCCCCAAAGGAACCUAGAAGACUAGUAAUGGUCUUAUCACUUGUGCCAAAUGAUGUCCCCAUGCCUUCAGACAGCCACAGAUCUUCCUUCUUCUCCUAGUCAUCAUCGCUCAUUGCUCAUGCUUGUGCCUUCUCCAUCCGCUCAUUUCUCCAGGUAUUGCUCACAAGUGCAAUGCAGUUCCUGCCCAGGCUUCUUUCCUUUUCCCCAAUGAGUUGAGGAACAAGUUUGAGGGGAGGGGCCUGACAUAGAACUUGCUGACUGUCCUGUUCCCCCAAGUAGAACAGAUCCCAAGGUUCCUACCCACUGAUCACUAGGUCUAGAAAUCACAAGAUCCCAGCUCACCUUAGCUCUGAAAUACCCCCUCAAGGUCAGUCUGGGCCCCAUCUCUGUCCAGAAGGUUGGGGCAAAGCUUGGCUACUAUUCUCGCCUACUGGAGAUCCAGUAAGAGGAAGGCACCCUGUUAGAUUAAAAUGUACAUUAAAAAAUCAGGACUCUGUACUGAACAAGGAGAGGUGAGGGUAUGUGAUUGUGUAGGAAAGGGUGGUGUUACAUAUAAUACAUAU